rnacentral:rRNA from 1 species
CAGGGAUUGCCUCAGUAACGGCGAGUGAAGCGGCAACAGCUCAAAUUUGAAAUCUGGCUCCCCCGGGUGCCCGAGUUGUAAUUUGCAGAGGAAGCUUUUGGCGAGGUGCCUUCCGAGUUCCCUGGAACGGGACGCCGCAGAGGGUGAGAGCCCCGUACGGUCGGCUGCCGAGCCUCUGUAAAGCUCCUUCGACGAGUCGAGUAGUUUGGGAAUGCUGCUCUAAAUGGGAGGUAAACCCCUUCUAAAGCUAAAUACCGGCCAGAGACCGAUAGCGCACAAGUAGAGUGAUCGAAAGAUGAAAAGCACUUUGAAAAGAGAGUUAAACAGCACGUGAAAUUGUUGAAAGGGAAGCGCUUGUGACCAGACUUGUGCCUGGCAGCUCAGCCGUCCUUUUGGGCGGUGCAUUCUGCCGGUUCAGGCCAGCAUCAGUUUCCGGUUGGGGAGAAAGGCGGCGGGAACGUGGCUCUACGGAGUGUUAUAGCCCGCCGUUAUGCCCUUCCGGGGACUGAGGUUCGCGCUCUGCAAGGAUGCUGGCGUAAUGGUCAUCAGCGACCCGUCUUGAAACACGGACCAAGGAGUCAUCCUAAUAUGCGAGUGUUCGGGUGUCAAACCCCCUACGCGUAAUGAAAGUGAACGGAGGUGAGAGCUUCGGCGCAUCAUCGACCGAUCCUGAUGUUCUCGGAUGGAUUUGAGUAAGAGCAUAUUGGGCUGGACCCGAAAGAAGGUGAACUAUGCUUGGAUAGGGCAAAGCCAGAGGAAACUCUGGUGGAGGCUCGCAGCGGUUCUGACGUGCAAAUCGAUCGUCAAAUCUGAGCAUGGGGGCGAAAGACUAAUCGAACCUUUUAGUAGCUGGUUUCCGUCGAAGUUUCCCUCAGGAUAGCAGUGUUGAACUCAGUUUUAUGAGGUAAAGCGAAUGAUUAGGGACUCGGGGGCGCUUAUUAGCCUUCAUCCAUUCUCAAACUUUAAAUAUGUAAGAAGCCCUUGUUGCUUUGGUGAACGUGGGCAUUCGAAUGUACAACACUAGUGGGCCAUUUUUGGUAAGCAGAACUGGCGAUGCGGGAUGAACCGAUCGCGAGGAUAAGGUGCCAGAGUAGACGCUCAUCAGACACCACAAAAGGUGUUAUCACAUCUAGACAGCAGGACGGUGGCCAUGGAAGUCGGAAUCCGCUAAGGACUGUGUAACAACUCACCUGCCGAAUGUGAUAGCCCUGAAAAUGGAUGGCGCUCAAGCGUCUCACCCAUACCUCGCCUUCAGGGUAGAAACGAUGCCCUGAAGAGUAGGCGGACGCGGAGGUCAGUGACGAAGGC